UAAAGCUUUAAUGUCACUUAUCAUAUGCAUAUUUAACUAAUUCUGAUAAAUCAGUUAAGAUUAUAAGAUAUAUUUAGGCAAUAACAGUAUAUUAAAAAAAUAAUGACUAGUAACCCACUUUCUCAAGUAUUCACAUAUUAUAAACAGAACUGAAGAAAAUGCCUAGAACUAUGUAGGGAGUUAUCUAGAAAAGAAAGAAAUGUUUGUUUUUUGCUGCGAUAACUUCACUAAAAUCGACUAGCGUCCUUACAAUACACAACCUUGACCUGAUACCAAAUAUAAUCAAAAUCUGAUAAAAAAAAACUGUUGCCUUUAAACUUAAUACACUUUUUUAUAAUCAAACUUUGUUUAAAGUCAUAUGACGAGAAAGUAGGCCAAGCAUAUCUCUGUAGAUUUAUAGCCCCAUUUGCUGUAAACCCAAAACAAACAAACCUUUCUUUCUAUUUGACAUAUUAACUUCGAAGAACAUCGUUUUAAAGAAAAGGGAAUAUCCGUAAAGGUUUAUUAGGAAGUAAAAAUAUUCACAAGUAUAUCGGUACAUAUAAGCUGACUAAUGCAAUGUCAAUUGAAAGACAGGGGGGUUUCCUUAUAUUCUACACUGACGCACGUGGUGAUUUAUCGUCGGGAUGUUUACCAUUUUUUCAUUUUUCUUUGCAUUUAUUAAGAAUAAGCGUGUAUGUUGUAAGUUUAAAGUCCUAGAAAAACUGUUUUCAUUCCACUUUUUCAGAUUACGGCUAACAAAAUUACAAAAUUCCUGUAACUUGUAACCCGCAAAACUCUGCACCGUUUGAUUUGCACAAAUAUUUAGCGAAACAAAAGCAUAAGAUACUGAGAAGAAAGUUCAUGUAAUUUAAAAUGCGUAAGAGUUCAUGUUCAUUUGAGAAAGAAUUCACGUUUUAAUGAACAAAAACAUUUAAACAAAUAAGAAAAUGAAUCUAUUCCUGAUAAUAAAGAUUAUUUAUAUUUAGACAUGUUGCUCUAUUAAUUAAAAAAAUACAUUGCGUGAGAGUAAAUAUUUUUUUCUUAUGUAUGUAUCUUUUGCAUUUUACCAUGCAAGUAGACAUCCCCGGCUGUAGAAAUAGACAUAUAUAUUUACACUUUUGCUGUGUUUGCAUUUUCUAGCACGGAAGACGUUGUGUACUGUUAAAAUAUUGACCGUUCCAUAUUAAGCCUUUUAGCAUGAAAAUGAAACGAAAAUUAAACAAACUACCGCAGUCACAUACAAAUUAUCGUGAUUUUGCAAGUAAAAUAGAAAUCACCGCGUGUCCAACGUCAAAAGCAGCUCUAUAACUCAUGUCUUUAGAGCGCCGUUCUACCAUUAUGGGUGACCUGGAAUCAAAUCCAACUUUGUAUAUUUUUUAAGAUCAAUUUAACAGGUUCAUCUGGGUCGACAUUUUUUAACAGUGAUACUUUUUCACAUUGCUUACAAUUCAGGAAUUGUGUUCCGUAAGAUCAAAUUAAAAUUAAACAAAUAAACAAAACAAAAAACAAUCAAAUAAGUAGUAUUAAGCGUCUUCGAUUUUUUCCCAGUAAACACCUGACGUCGUAUCGACGUUGGUUAGACGUUGGAUUUUGGUCGCGACGUCGGCGACUCGAAUCCAACGUCUAACCAACGUCAUAUCCACGACGUCUAAUAGACGUCAGACUUAGACGUCUAGAAGACGUUGGAAUUAGGUUGGAUAUAAAGUCUGAUAAAUGUUAUGAAUUAUAAAACUUUUAAACUAGUAUAAUUUUGCUAGUAUAGUUUCAAGAUAUUUACUAUUUAUUAUAUAAUGUUUUCAUAAAGGCCUGGACAUGCGCUUAUAAAUAAUAGUUCAUUCGCACAUCAAAUAUUGUUAAUUAUAUUAUAAUAUCGCAUGAGAUUGUCUAUUUUCGGAAACGGAUUUGUUCACGAAUUUUAAACUGUUCAAGAUAAAAGUGCAUUCUAUACACAUGUAUAAAUUAUUCUACCUAAGGAUCUUCUCUUCUACACAUGUUAAUUUAUUAGUCAUACAUCCGCGAGAUAAGCCUGCAUCGGUUUACACAGUCUUCCUGUAAUUUGAUAUUUGUUGGGAUAAGAUAGAGCAAGUUUAUAAAUACUUUACACAAAGGGAGGGAUCCGCAACAUGGAAAUAUUAACGGAGUUGAAGAAUCAUGCAAAACUGACGAAACUUGAAAGUUUCAAUUAUCGGAUUACUUUUUGGACUUAUUGUAUUUGACUUACGUCGUCAUAAUAUAAAAUAAAGAUGAUAAAAUA